rnacentral:tRNA from 1 species
AAAUAAGAAACAAAGUAUUGUAUUUAGUUUCGACCUAAAAAUUUGGCUAUAAAAGCCCUUAUUUA